ensembl:snoRNA SNORD116 Small nucleolar RNA SNORD116
GGAUCGAUGAUGACUCCCUCAUGCUGCAUUCCUUGGAAUAGAUGAACAAAAUGGUGGGAACUUCCUACCGUCGUUCUCAUUGAAACUGAGGUCC